AGGACGAACGCUGGCGGCGCGCUUAACACAUGCAAGUCGAGCGAGAACCAGGGCUUCGGCUCUGGGGACAGCGGCGAACGGGUGAGUAACACGUGAGUAAUCUGCCCUCGACACUGGGAUAGCCCGGGGAAACCCGGAUUAAUACCGGAUAGCCUUUCGAGCUCUCGGGCUCGUCAGAAAAGGAUGGCUUCGGCUUUCGGUUGAGGAUGAGCUUGCGGCGGAUUAGCUUGUCGGUGAGGUAACGGCUCACCAAGGCGACAAUCCGCAGCUGGUCUGAGAGGACGAUCAGCCACACUGGGACUGAGACACGGCCCAGACUCCUACGGGAGGCAGCAGUGGGGAAUCUUGCGCAAUGAGCGAAAGCUUGACGCAGCGACGCCGCGUGAGGAAGAAGGCCUUCGGUGUAAACCUCUUUCGAGGAGGACGAAGCCGCUCGGCUAAUACCCAGAGGUGACGGUACCUCCGAGAAGAAGCCCCCGGCUAACCUACGUGACCAGCAGCCGA
rnacentral:rRNA from 1 species